ensembl:snRNA U5 U5 spliceosomal RNA
ACACUCUUGUUUCUCUUCAAAGCGUAUAAAUCUUUCGCCUUUUACUAAAGAUUUCCGUGGGGAGGACUAUUAUGAGUAUAAAUUAAUUUUUUGAUGCCCUGCUUUAUUGUGGGGCG